rnacentral:rRNA from 1 species
UGGGGAAUUUUGGACAAUGGGCGCAAGCCUGAUCCAGCAAUGCCGCGUGCAGGAUGAAGGCCUUCGGGUUGUAAACUGCUUUUGUACGGAGCGAAAAGGUCUGCCCUAAUACGGUGGGCUCAUGACGGUACCGUAAGAAUAAGCACCGGCUAACUACGUGCCAGCAGCCGCGGUAAUACGUAGGGUGCGAGCGUUAAUCGGAAUUACUGGGCGUAAAGCGUGCGCAGGCGGUUAUAUAAGACAGAUGUGAAAUCCCCGGGCUCAACCUGGGACCUGCAUUUGUGACUGUAUAGCUAGAGUACGGUAGAGGGGGAUGGAAUUCCGCGUGUAGCAGUGAAAUGCGUAGAUAUGCGGAGGAACACCGAUGGCGAAGGCAGGUUACUACUUGUGGAUUGACGCUGAUGGACGAAAGCGUGGGGAGCGAACA